rnacentral:rRNA from 1 species
AUGCACGCUGGCGGCGUGCCUAAUCCAUGCCAGUCGCGCGAACAGACGAGGAGCUUGCUCCUUUGACGUUAGCGGCGGACGGGUGAGUAACACGUGGGUAACCUACCUAUAAGACUGGGAUAACUUCGGGAAACCGGAACUAAUACCGGAUAAUAUUUCGAACCGCAUGGUUCGAUAGUGAAAGAUGGCUCUGCUAUCACUUAUAGAUGGACCUGCGCCGUAUUAGCUAGUUGGUAAGGUAACGGCUUACCAAGGCAACGAUACGUAGCCGACCUGAGAGGGUGAUCGGCCACACUGGAACUGAGACACGGUCCAGACUCCUACGGGAGGCAGCAGUAGGGAAUCUUCCGCAAUGGGCGAAAGCCUGACGGAGCAACGCCGCGUGAGUGAUGAAGGUCUUCGGAUCGUAAAACUCUGUUAUUAGGGAAGAACAAACGUGUAAGUAACUGUGCACGUCUUGACGGUACCUAAUCAGAAAGCCACGGCUAACUACGUG